UGGUAAAACAUUUAAAAAGAAAAACCUUAAAGAUUUAAUCGAAACAUUAUAUAUUGGGAAAGAAAAAGAAACUCAAACAAGCCGAUAAAGCAUUUAAAAAAAACAAACAUUAAAAAUGUUCUUGGUUUGAUUGUGGAUAGAUUUACUAAGAACUCAUUUCAGAAAACUGCCUUCCAGAUAAAGUCUACUAGUAGUUGAAGGCAUUUAUCAAACUAAUGUUACCUUCUGAUCUCCAUAAACUUUACUGUUCAGUGAAGAGAAUCAAAGUUUGUUGAGGAUUCCUAAAAAACCCGCAGGUGAAGGUCUGAGAAGAACUCAGAUUGAUGGUCUAAAUGUGAAAUCAAGACUCAUGGUCACAAGUUUUAAGGCUUCUGUUAACCAGAAAGUUCAAACUAACAGAGAACUACAGAGAAACUUUUAAAAUUUCAGUCCUCAGACUGUCUGAAGGUUCAAACUAACAGAGAAGUACUGAAGAACUUUGAGGUUUUCAGUCCUCAGACUGUCUGAAGGUUCAAACUAAAAGAGAACUACUCAGGAACUUAGAAGAUUUCAGUCCUCAGACUGUCUGUCUCAAUCGUACGACGCAGUGUGUAACUGUAUGCAGCACAGUGAGACGGCAUACUCGUUUCCGUUUUCACGCCGUCUACAUCAACGGAAUGCACUGAAACUUUGCUCCCACUAGCUUAGCCUCGCCGUAGCACGCAGCUCAAAGGGGCGUGUCCUAUCUCCUCAUUCAUAUCUACGAGAACAACGGUGGCUGCACAUAAGGACGCCUGACGUUUAUUAGCUGCGUAAAUACCAUUAUAUACAGUCUGUGGUAAAUACGUAUGUGAAUUGCAUCAUUGGCUGCAGCAGCCAGUCACCUGGUCACUCACUGACUCACAUUGAAAAAUAGCACAGAAUGAAUUGUUACGUGUUUAUUUUAUUUACAAUUUAGGUUGGAUUUUUUUUUUGUGCGCAGCGCAGAUUUUCUGUGUGCGGAGACCGUGUCAGCAGUGCACAAUUGCGCAGCUUAGAGGGAACAGUGCUGGAGAGUGUUUGUGAUGCUGAAGCAGUGACCAGUUUUUCUGUUUCUUCUCUGGAGAUGCACAAUGAGGGACGUCUGCAGAGACUGAGAAAGAGUCUCACCACAUCCUGACAUGAGGAAAAAGACUUUAUUGAAGACUACAAUGAGAAAAACUAUCAGACAGCAGACGGCUGCAUUCAAGUCUGUAGCUGCUGAAUUCAUGGAUGAAUCAUCUGGCACUAGAGAGGAAGACCAUCAAACGUCCACGUCAGCUGAUGGAGGUCCAAGAGUCUCACCAAACAAACAACCUACAGAGUGAAGACCUCCAAUCUGAUUGGACAGCCUCCUAUUCAGCCACGUGUGAACAAAUGCCUCUAAGCUGAUUUGUUUUCUAAAAUAAAUCUAGUUUGUGUCCUAA